rnacentral:rRNA from 1 species
CUUGACCAUAAAAAUAUAAGAGGUCCCGCCUGCCCACUGACUAUAUGUUCAACGGCCGCGGUAUUUUAACCGUGCGAAGGUAGCGUAAUCACUUGUCUUUUAAAUGAAGACCUGUAUGAAUGGCAUCACGAGGGCUUAACUGUCUCCCCCCUCCAGUCAAUGAAAUUGACCUCCCCGUGCAGAGGCGGGGAUACCCCUAUAAGACGAGAAGACCCUGUGGAGCUUUAGACCUAAAAUAAAUUAUGUUCAACACUCUACAAAACCAGUAAAAACUUAAUAAUAUUUAUUCAAGUGUCUUUGGUUGGGGCGACCGAGGGGAAAAACACAACCCCCAUGUGGACCGGGGAUAUUAUCCCUAACACUCAGAGCCGCUACUCCAAGUAACAGAAAUUCUGACCUUCUGAUCCGGUAUUACCGAUCAACGAACCGAGUUACCCCAGGGAUAACAGCGCAAUCCCCUCUAAGAGCCCUUAUCGACGAGGGGGUUUACGACCUCGAUGUUGGAUCAGGACAUCCUAAUUGCGCAGCCGCUAUUAAGGGUUCGUUUGUUCAACGAUUAAAGUCCUACGUGAU